rnacentral:rRNA from 1 species
AUUGAACGCUGGCGGCAUGCCUUACACAUGCAAGUCGAACGGUAACAGGUUAAGCUGACGAGUGGCGAACGGGUGAGUAAUGUAUCGGAACGUGCCCAGUCGUGGGGGAUAACUGCUCGAAAGAGCAGCUAAUACCGCAUACGACCUGAGGGUGAAAGCGGGGGAUCGCAAGACCUCGCGCGAUUGGAGCUGCCGAUAUCAGAUUAGGUAGUUGGUGAGGUAAAGGCUCACCAAGCCGACGAUCUGUAGCUGGUCUGAGAGGACGACCAGCCACACUGGGACUGAGACACGGCCCAGACUCCUACGGGAGGCAGCAGUGGGGAAUUUUGGGCAAUGGGCGCAAGCCUGAUCCAGCCAUGCCGCGUGCGGGAAGAAGGCCUUCGGGUUGUAAACCGCUUUUGUCAGGGAAGAAAAGGUUCUGGCUAAAACCUGGGACUCAUGACGGUACCUGAAGAAUAAGCACCGGCUAACUACGUG